UUAAAUUGAAGAGUUUGAUCAUGGCUCAGAUUGAACGCUGGCGGCAGGCCUAACACAUGCAAGUCGAACGGUAACAGGAAGCAGCUUGCUGCUUUGCUGACGAGUGGCGGACGGGUGAGUAAUGUCUGGGAAACUGCCUGAUGGAGGGGGAUAACUACUGGAAACGGUAGCUAAUACCGCAUAACGUCGCAAGACCAAAGAGGGGGACCUUCGGGCCUCUUGCCAUCGGAUGUGCCCAGAUGGGAUUAGCUUGUUGGUGGGGUAACGGCUCACCAAGGCGACGAUCCCUAGCUGGUCUGAGAGGAUGACCAGCCACACUGGAACUGAGACACGGUCCAGACUCCUACGGGAGGCAGCAGUGGGGAAUAUUGCACAAUGGGCGCAAGCCUGAUGCAGCCAUGCCGCGUGUAUGAAGAAGGCCUUCGGGUUGUAAAGUACUUUCAGCGGGGAGGAAGGGAGUAAAGUUAAUACCUUUGCUCAUUGACGUUACCCGCAG
rnacentral:rRNA from 1 species